rnacentral:rRNA from 1 species
UACGGAGGGUGCAAGCGUUGUCCGGAAUUACUAGGCGUAAAGGGCAGGCAGGCGGAUCCAUAAGUUUAUCGUUUAAGGCGUCGGCUUAACCGGCGUAGGGCGGUAGAUACUGUGGAUCUGGAAUGCGGUUGGGGAAGACAGAAUUCCUGGUGUAGCGGUGGAAUGCGCAGAGAUCAGGAGGAAUACCGAAGGCGAAGGCAGUCUUCCAAGCCGUUAUUGACGCUCAACUGCGAAGGUGUGGGUAUCAAACAGGAUUAGAUACCCUCGUAGUCCCUGA